GUCCACGCUGUAAACGUUGGGCACUAGGUGUGGGGGGUAUUGACCCCCUCCGUGCCGCAGCUAACGCGAUAAGUGCCCCGCCUGGGGAGUACGGCCGCAAGGCUAAAACUCAAAGGAAUUGACGGGGGCCCGCACAAGCAGCGGAGCGUGUGGUUCAAUUCGAUGCGACGCGAAGAACCUUACCAGGGCUUGACAUGCUGGUAGUACUGAUCCGAAAGGUGAGGGACCCUUCGGGGAGCCAGCACAGGUGUUGCAUGGCUGUCGU
rnacentral:rRNA from 1 species